CUCUCUGAAACAUCCAUCUCCUUUCCGAGUACGACUCGCUUUAUGUUUCUGUUCUUCUUUUUAGGUUACUUGAUGGUCUUCCGCGUAGUUUCCAGAUAUUUUUCUCCUAUCUAAGUGAACGAAUGCAAUUUGAAAGCGUCGAAAAAAGAAAUUGAAAAAAAGAAAAGAACGGAGAGUCAUUUGAAUGAGGACGCUGAAGUGAAGGAGAAGCACUCGUCGGAGGAAAAAUGGAGUAAAUCGAUGAGAGUUAGUGGUGACCUCUGGCAGCGGAGAGGGAGGAUUCCCAACGUCAGGAAGCGGAAAGUGAGGCUUCCCGUUUACAAGUUUGCUGCUACGCGCCGCCACAUCAGUCAGGUCCGUCGGAUUUUAAAUCCCAGUUCCUGAUUUCGAAACUUCCUAUUGCUUUAUCACGAUUUUGUUAAGGCAAUUGUUGAAGACAUAUAUAAACCGAUAACAGGCUGUCGUCUCGAAGUCAUUUCGGGUGCUUUACAGGAGCGGUACCGAUUGCUAAUGAUAACGAACCAAAUUUGGUCCGUCGAGAAAUUGCUAAUUAUGAUGAACCAAAUUUGGUCCACCAAGAAAUUCAAAUGCUAGAGACUGCUGAUGAUGGUCCACUGUUAACGAUUGCUGAUGGUGUUGUAUACCAACUUCCUAACAAUCAAGAUGACUGGCGUUUAAAGGAUGUUUUAGCAUGGGUUUUCCCCAUCUGCAACUUUACCCUGGAACUCCCUUCAACGGUUUUUGAUCAGCUUUCCUCCAAAGAUCACCCUCAAUAUGCACUCAUUGCGAUGUUAUUUUCGUUCAUAGCACUGAUGUCUUGCAUUGCUGAGCUUAUUUUCAAUGGUAAAAUGGAAAGAGUUACUUGGCAGUGGAGAGACACAGUACCUUGGUUUUAUUGUCGACCAACCGACAAGCUUUUUGGUACCCUGUAGGAGAUCAUUGGAUUUGCUUGUGCUUUCCUUCAAUGUGUUAUUGCAGCCAUCAAUUAUUCAUUUA